CAUUCGGCCACUAGAGGGCAGUGCAAAAGUGCACAUAAAUAAAAAACAAGGAUGCCACGUGUAAAAAGGCCGGUGGAAUUGUUGGAAGCAUUGUUUACUGUAGGAACCAACCACAUCGUCUAUAACAGCAGACUAAACCCAGAUGAUUCGUGAGCUCAAGGAGCACUCAUUCUACCAGAGUAAAGGGUGAAAAUUAAUAUACAUUGCUAGAAAACAUCAAUUUGAUUCAGAUUUUUUUGUUGUUGUUUAAAACAUUAUGUAUCAGUAAUAAGAGAGUUCCCAUCAACGAACUCUGCUGAAGAUAACUAUAACCUAGGCAAGACACGUUAAAAAAAAAACAAAAAACAAAAAAACUACAUGAAGAUGUAGGAGAGAGAGGAAAGUCAGGCAGAUUCUGGAGGGGAGUUGACACUGCAAAGAGAGAAGGUACUUGGUAAAUUUCCCAUCUUAUGACUCUUAUCCUGAGGGCAGACGCCAGUCCCAGGGGAUAAACCCUCUACACCUAUCCCAAGAGCCGGUGCCAAGGGUGCAUCCCUGGUGCCCAUCCCUGCCCAGGUCACUUCAGUUGUUCAUCAACCUCCCUGAGCUUCAGUUUGUUCCUGCAGGUCAUAAAGGAGAACAAGUCUUUUUCAUGGGGUUCUUUUUGAGGAUUAGCAGAGAUCCUGUAUGUGAAGUGCCUGGCAUGUCACGGUUUGAUGCAGAUAUCAGACAUUGAGAAGACUGUGGUUCUUUCAUGGCUGCUUUUAUGGAUGGAUGUUCUUGUCUGAAUAUCUGGUCAGCUCUUUCUCUGAUGCCAAUGUAGUCUCAUUGUGCCUGAAGCCUGGCCCUGGGUUAGGAAAUAGUUUUCCAUAUUUAAGAGUAGCUCCCCCAGGACAUGACUUGACUUCAUGAACUUAGCCUGAGCUCCUCAUGUGAGAGUCAUAAAAGGCAUUUUGACUCAAACCUAUAUUUCUUUUGGCUUCAAGAGAGGACUAUAUAAACUUUAAUUUGGCCGUGCAUGUCAGGAAAGUAAAUGCCUUUAAAAGCCUCCAUUUAAGAUCAGACUUUGUAUUUACACUCCCUCUGUCAGAGUAAAGUACACAGAAGUAGCAAGCCAUGCUUAUAAUGCCAUCAGUUUAAUGAGUUUCUACAUUCUAAUAAAAUAUCAAACAUUGGCAGCA